rnacentral:rRNA from 1 species
CACUCCUACGGGAGGCAGCAGUAGGGAAUCUUCGGCAAUGGGGGCAACCCUGACCGAGCAACGCCGCGUGAGUGAAGAAGGUUUUCGGAUCGUAAAGCUCUGUUGUAAGUCAAGAACGAGUGUGAGAGUGGAAAGUUCACACUGUGACGGUAGCUUACCAGAAAGGGACGGCUAACUACGUGCCAGCAGCCGCGGUAAUACGUAGGUCCCGAGCGUUGUCCGGAUUUAUUGGGCGUAAGCGAGCGCAGGCGGUUUGAUAAGUCUGAAGUUAAAGGCUGUGGCUCAACCAUAGUUCGCUUUGGAAACUGUCAAACUUGAGUGCAGAAGGGGAGAGUGGAAUUCCAUGUGUAGCGGUGAAAUGCGUAGAUAUAUGGAGGAACACCGGUGGCGAAAGCGGCUCUCUGGUCUGUAACUGACGCUGAGGCUCGAAAGCGUGGGGAGCGAACAGGAUUAGAAACCCCGGUAGUCCCAU